AUACUUUUAAGUUGACAAGCAGUAUCAAAAGCUAGGUUCAAUAGGGAUUACACGCACCGACCGUCUCUAGAACAAGUGGUAAAGAGCUUGGUGGUUAGUAUCCGAGACCCAAGUUCGAAUCCUAGUUGAUCACAUUUCCAACUAAGUUUAUUUUUAAAUGAAAUAAAUGAAGCGGGUAGCGUGCUAUAUACCUCUCAGAAGAAAAAAAAAAGGGGAGUA
rnacentral:lncRNA from 1 species